UGGGUGGUGGUGCAUGGCCGUUCUUAGUUGGUGGAGCGAUUUGUCUGGUUAAUUCCGAUAACGAACGAGACUCUGGCAUGCUAACUAGUUACGCGACCCCCGAGCGGUCGGCGUCCCCCAACUUCUUAGAGGGACAAGUGGCGUUCAGCCACCCGAGCUUGAGCAAUAACAGGUCUGUGAUGCCCUUAGAUGUCCGGGGCUGCACGCGCGCUACACUGACUGGCUCAGCGUGUGCCUACCCUACGCCGGCAGGCGCGGGUAACCCGUUGAACCCCAUUCGUGAUGGGGAUCGGGGAUUGCAAUUAUUCCCCAUGAACGAGGAAUUCCCAGUAAGUGCGGGUCAUAAGCUUGCGUUGAUUAAGUCCCUGCCCUUUGUACACACCGCCCGUCGCUACUACCGAUUGGAUGGUUUAGUGAGGCCCUCGGAUCGGCCCNNNNNNNNNNCGGAAGGGCACCACCAGGAGUGGAGCCUGCGGCUUAAUUUGACUCAACACGGGAAACCUCACCCGGCCCGGACACGGACAGGAUUGACAGAUUGAUAGCUCUUUCUCGAUUCCGUGGGUGGUGGUGCAUGGCCGUUCUUAGUUGGUGGAGCGAUUUGUCUGGUUAAUUCCGAUAACGAACGAGACUCUGGCAUGCUAACUAGUUACGCGACCCCCGAGCGGUCGGCGUCCCCCAACUUCUUAGAGGGACAAGUGGCGUUCAGCCACCCGAGAUUGAGCAAUAACAGGUCUGUGAUGCCCUUAGAUGUCCGGGGCUGCACGCGCGCUACCCUGACUGGCUCAGCGUGUGCCUACCCUACGCCGGCAGGCGCGGGUAACCCGUUGAACCCCAUUCGUGAUGGGGAUCGGGGAUUGCAAUUAUUCCCCAUGAACGAGGAAUUCCCAGUAAGUGCGGGUCAUAAGCUUGCGUUGAUUAAGUCCCUGCCCUUUGUACACACCGCCCGUCGCUACUACCGAUUGGAUGGUUUAGUGAGGCCCUCGGAUCGGCCCCGCCGGGGUCGGCCCACGGCCCUGGCGGAGCGCUGAGAAGACGGUCGAACUUGACUAUCUAGAGGAAGUAAAAGUCGUAACAAGGUUUCCGNNNNNNNNNNUUCCGUGG
rnacentral:rRNA from 1 species